AACGAACGCUGGCGGCAUGCCUAACACAUGCAAGUCGAACGAGACCUUCGGGUCUAGUGGCGCACGGGUGCGUAACGCGUGGGAACCUGCCCUUAGGUUCGGAAUAACUCCCCGAAAGGGGUGCUAAUACCGGAUAAUGUCUUCGGACCAAAGAUUUAUCGCCUUUGGAUGGGCCCGCGUUGGAUUAGCUAGUUGGUAGGGUAAAAGCCUACCAAGGCGACGAUCCAUAGCUGGUCUGAGAGGAUGAUCAGCCACACUGGGACUGAGACACGGCCCAGACUCCUACGGGAGGCAGCAGUGGGGAAUAUUGGACAAGGGGCGAAAGACUGAUCCAGCAAUGCCGCGUGAGUGAUGAAGGCCUUAGGGUUGUAAAGCUCUUUUACCCGGGAUGAUAAUGACAGUACCGGGAGAAUAAGCUCCGGCUAACUCCGUG
rnacentral:rRNA from 1 species